AUUGAACGCUGGCGGCAUGCUUUACACAUGCAAGUCGAACGGUAACAGGUUAAGCUGACGAGUGGCGAACGGGUGAGUAAUGCAUCGGAACGUGCCCGGUCGUGGGGGAUAACACUUCGAAAGAAGUGCUAAUACCGCAUACGAUCUGAGGAUGAAAGCGGGGGACCGUAAGGCCUCGCGCGAUCGGAGCGGCCGAUGUCAGAUUAGGUAGUUGGUGGGGUAAAGGCCUACCAAGCCGACGAUCUGUAGCUGGUCUGAGAGGACGACCAGCUACAAUGGGACGGAGACACGGCCCAGACUCCUACGGGAGGCAGCAGUGGGGAAUUUUGGACAAUGGGCGCAAGCCUGAUCCAGCAAUGCCGCGUGCAGGAAGAAGGCCUUCGGGUUGUAAACUGCUUUUGUACGGAGCGAAAAGGCUCUCUCUAAUACAGGGGGCUGAUGACGGUACCGUAAGAAUAAGCACCGGCUAACUACGUGCCAGCAGCCGCAGUAA
rnacentral:rRNA from 1 species